rnacentral:lncRNA from 1 species
GGGCUGCCUGAACGUUGGGCCGCGGAGAGGGCGCGGCUGAGCCUCCUGCUCUCUUUCUGGGAGCAGCCCGGGUCCCGGGUCAGUAAUCCUCCCCGGCGCCCCCUGCCUGCCCGGUGUGGAGCAACCUGGUCACGCGGGACCAGGGCGAUUGGGUUUGGGGCGGGGGCGGCGAGAUCCGCAUCCCCCACUCAUUCUGCAAAGCUGUUGGGUGACUCGCCCGGCAUUGCCUGCCGAACGGACACUGUCUGACACGACCCGAAUCUCAGCCGGGACUGUAUGCGACUGGGCUGUGUUCAAAGGCUUCUACCCCGAGUCUAAGGGGACUCGGCGGCGCCGAGCCACGGAGCAGCCUCGAGCGUUUCUCCGCAGUGUAGGCACGCGGGGCUCGAGCUGCCUCGGGAGAGGACAGGCCGCCCUCGGUUCACUCGCAUUUGGCACUUGCUGAAACAGAACUCUAAUUAUUUUGCUUGUAGGCCAGAGAAAUGAGAGAUGGGGGUGGGUGGAAUGUUUUUCUUCAGUGAAGUCCCCAGUCUCCCGCUCCCGUCCAUUCACAUUAGAACCAAGUACGGUAGGUAUUCCAUGCCUUUCAGCCUGCCGCGUCCCUGCAGCACUGCGCGGAAGGCAGUGACACAUAGGCGCUCAGUUUCGCCGGCGGUGGGAGUUCGGUGGGCGAGAUGCUGUCAUCCAUCCCAGGCGCUUUUCCAGUGCUUCGUCCAGUCCUCACCCAAGCACUCUCACACUCCCUAAUACAUUUCUCUCCCCCCCCCCGUUUUGGUCUCAGGGAUCAACCUAAAUGUAGAGCUCUUUGUGUCACCAGUUCAUCUGUGUCUUCUUUAAAUAUUGUUCAUUUCACUUAGCUUCGGUAGUGUCAAGGCGUGCCAAUGGAAUUGUUUUUCCUGUUUGCUUUUAACCGAGUCUGAUGUCUUUAUUCUCAUCUGAGGGGGAAUAAAUGUACAUAUGCUUGGAGGCUCGAAGGCUUCAAUUCUGACUAAAGGUUAGGAAGGAGUGUGUGUGUGUGUGUGUGUGUGUGUGUGUGUUCGCGCGCGCGCGCGCGCGUGUGGUUGUUGUUGUUGGGAGGGGGCGGGGAGCCUGCUUCAACCAUGCCUAAGUUGUGAAAUGAAAGCCUAAGGCUUUGCGCCGCGCCUCAUUGCCAGGCAUCCGCCGAAGUGAAAGCAGAACACAAAACACUUUGGAUUUUCUUAUACAACCUUUUCAACUGUUUUAAUUGGUCAAGAAAGCUGUACACUGCUGUUUUAAAAUAUUCCCGCAUGCACAGUCCACUCAACACCCCGAAUCUGAGCUUCGUUUUUGAUCGGAUACUUGUCAUUCAACCGGUGGGAGACACAUUCAUUUUGUGUCCAGUGUCGGUAAUGAUGCCGUUGCAGUUUUCAGACAGCUAGAACCGAACUCUUACAAACUUUUCCUGCUGAGCCUCAGGUUCCCACUUGCAGAGAUCCAGCUGUUGCUGCCACAGAUGCUUUCUUUAGAAGCCCUGCUUUGUGCAAAUUUUCAUUUACAAUCUGAGUAAUAAAGGAAAUCAUAUUUAAACUACGGAUUUUUGUAUUUUAAAGCACUAGUUCCUUUUGACGAGUAGCGUGUGGCAGAGAUAGUUGGUGACCUCUGCAGUGCAAUCAUCCAACGAAAAUUUAGCUUCUCUGUCUGUACUGGUUUCUUUCUCUUUUUGGGUUAGGAAGAAGCAGUGUGACCAG